GUUGUUUUGUUUUCUGUUUUUUGUUUGUUUUGUUUUAAAACAAGCAGUCCCCACAUACUGUAAAUACCCUGAUUGACACUGGAGCAGAGGCCUCCUUAAUAUAUUGGAAUCCCAAGAAAUUUAAGGGACAACUUCUAAUUAUUACAGGUUUAGGAGGAAGAUAUAUUAAAGCUGUACAAACACAAAUAGAAAUUAAAAUAUAGAGAUUCUAAAAAAACUAACUUUAAAUCUUUCUGAUGGUCAGUAUCAACUUGGAGUUAAACCCUGUAUUAGUGCCAGACCUGUUACCAUUAGUAAAGUAGAAAUGCCUCCUGUGCAGAUCCUGGCUGCAACUAAGUUAGUCACAAUGAAGCAGUAUAGAAUUCUGGGAGUACAUGAAGAGAUAUCACAGACAAUUAGAUAUUUAUUAGAUGUAGGAGCUUUAAAGCCAACCACGACAGUGUGGAACAAUCUGAUAUGGCCUGUCAAGAAAAGUGAUGGAUCCUGAAGAAUUACGGUGGAUUUUAGAGAACUAAACAAACAUACUCCACUGCUUGCAGCAGCGGUUCCAGACACUGCCAC